AAAAAGACAAAUUAUGAUAUUUCAACUGAUGUUUCUAGAAGAAAACAAGAGAACAGGUUCGAAUUUUGAUCCGUAAAGAUGCUAAAUGAUGGAGACGGACAAGUGGAGAAUGGAAAUGAGAACAAAACUAUGGAGAUAUUUAUCCCCUCUCUUCUUUUUUCGUGCGGAAUGGCCUGGAUAAAUUGAAAGACAGAACUGGAAUUGCUUCUGGAGGUAGCGCUGGAUGAGAACCUAUUGAAGUAGGAAAUCACGAGAUAGAUUAGCCAACUGCAAAUAAGAAAAGAGCAGAUCUGUAUGCAAUGGAUAAACCUAAUAUUACUAUUUUGAGACUGACGAAUGACCUGGGUAUUUGAUAGACGGGCAAUGAAAGUGCUUCUACAUCGGAGGUAGAAACAACCAGUGACAAUAGCAAUGGAUGACAAACGUGCUGGAGUGAAAAAUCACGAGAUAAAUUAGCUGGUCGCAACAACAAAGAUAGUAAACAGAAGAAGCCUACAACGUUUAGUGGAGGAAAACAAAAGAGAGGUAGGAACUUACACAGAUGAAAGGAGAAGCAGCGUUGUAGGAGCCAGCGCAGGAAUGCAGCAAGGUUGCAGGAGAGGUACGAGCUAUUAAUGUUGCUUUGCAAGAGAAUGAGAGGAGGUUUACCAGACAAUA
rnacentral:lncRNA from 1 species